rnacentral:rRNA from 1 species
AACGAACGCUGGCGGCAUGCCUAACACAUGCCAGUCGAACGAGACCUUCGGGUCUAGUGGCGCACGGGUGCGUAACGCGUGGGAACCUGCCCUUAGGUUCGGAAUAACUCCCCGAAAGGGGUGCUAAUACCGGAUAAUGUCUUCGGACCAAAGAUUUAUCGCCUUUGGAUGGGCCCGCGUUGGAUUAGCUAGUUGGUAGGGUAAAAGCCUACCAAGGCGACGAUCCAUAGCUGGUCUGAGAGGAUGAUCAGCCACACUGGGACUGAGACACGGCCCAGACUCCUACGGGAGGCAGCAGUGGGGAAUAUUGGACAAUGGGCGAAAGCCUGAUCCAGCAAUGCCGCGUGAGUGAUGAAGGCCUUAGGGUUGUAAAGCUCUUUUACCCGGGAUGAUAAUAACAGUACCGGGAGAAUAAGCUCCGGCUAACUCCGUG